rnacentral:rRNA from 1 species
UACGUAGGCAGCGAGCGUUGUUCGGAGUUACUGGGCGUAAAGCGUGCGCAGGCGGUUCGACAAGUCCGAUGUGAAAGCCCCGGGCUCAACCUGGGAAUGGCAUUGGAAACUGGCGAGCUUGAGUGUGGCAGAGGGGGGUGGAAUUCCGCGUGUAGCAGUGAAAUGCGUAGAGAUGCGGAGGAACACCGAUGGCGAAGGCAGCCCCCCGGGCUGACACUGACGCUCAGGCACGAAAGCGUGGGGAGCAAACAGG